rnacentral:rRNA from 1 species
AGCUCUGUAAGCGUAUACCAAAGUUGUUGCAGUUAAAACGCUCGUAGUCGGAACUUGGCAGUUCCGGAUGUGUGCACGUCGUGUGCGCACUUUGCGGGGACUGCUUUUGUGGUCUUGCGUAGGAUGAGGCACUUUUAUUAGUGAACGUCCUCACGCAGCCACUCUUUACUGUGAGAAAAUCAGAGUGCUCAAAGCAGGCAUUUGCCGUGAAUGUAUUAGCAUGGAAUAAUAGAAUAGGACUUGGUUCUAUUUUGUUGGUUUGUUGGGACUGAGUAAUGAUUAAGAGGGACAGUUGGGGGCAUUUGUAUUUCGGCGCUAGAGGUGAAAUUCUUAGAUUGCCGAAAGACAAACUGCUGCGAAAGCGUCUGCCAAGGAUGUUUUCA